GAAGUGCGAUAAGCAAUGCGAAUUGCAGAAUUCCGCGAAUCAUCAGAUCUUUGAACGCAAAUGGCGCCAGAGGGAUAUCCUUCUGGCAUGUCUGUUUCAGUGUCUGAGAGGUUUCACCACUAUCUUAAUGUGAUUGAUGAACAAGUUGCUACUCUCGUAGUGGCUUGACCUCAUCUCUCAUGAAAGAUGUUCGAGUGGAUCUUUUGGUCCAAUGAAGUGGUCACAUCACUCGCAUGUGAUUUCAUUGGGAUCACCAAAUUAUCCGCAUGCUCGAAGUACACUCUCUCUUUUUUUUGGGUAACACCAAAAGAAAGACACUCCACACCCUGCAUCUGAGACAGGCAAGAUCACCCGCUGAACUUAA
rnacentral:misc_RNA from 1 species